rnacentral:rRNA from 1 species
GACGAACGCUGGCGGCGUGCUUAACACAUGCAAGUCGAACGGAAAGGCCCUGCUUUUGUGGGGUGCUCGAGUGGCGAACGGGUGAGUAACACGUGAGUAACCUGCCCUUGACUUUGGGAUAACUUCAGGAAACUGGGGCUAAUACCGGAUAGGAGCUCCUGCUGCAUGGUGGGGGUUGGAAAGUUUCGGCGGUUGGGGUUGGAUUCGCGGCUUAUCAGCUUGUUGGUGGGGUAGGGGCUUACCAAGGCUUUGACGGGUAGCCGGCAUGAGAGGGUGACCGGCCACAUUGGGACUGAGAUACGGCCCAGACUCCUACGGGAGGCAGCAGUGGGGAAUAUUGCACAAUGGGCGGAAGCCUGAUGCAGCAACGCCGCGUGCGGGAUGACGGCCUUCGGGUUGUAAACCGCUUUCGCCUGUGACGAAGCGUGAGUGACGGUAAUGGGUAAAGAAGCACCGGCUAACUACGUG